rnacentral:rRNA from 1 species
UACAGAGGUCUCAAGCGUUGUUCGGAUUCAUUGGGCGUAAAGGGUGCGUAGGCGGCGCGGUAAGUCGGGUGUGAAAUCUUGGAGCUUAACUCCGAAACUGCAUUUGAUACUGCCUUGCUUGAGGACUGGAGAGGAGACUGGAAUUCACGGUGUAGCAGUGAAAUGCGUAGAGAUCGUGAGGAAGACCAGUGGCGAAGGCGGGUCUCUGGACAGUUCCUGACGCUGAGGCACGAAGGUCAGGGGAGCAAACGGG